GGCAGUUUUGGGUCAGUUUGGGGCAGUUUUGGUGGGAUUUGGGUCACUUUGGGGCAGUUUGGGGCAGUUUUGGUGGGAUUUGGGUCACUUUGGGGCAGUUUCUGGGCCAUUUUUAGGUCAGUUUGGGUCAGUUUGGGGCAGUUUGGGGCAGUUUUGAGGCAGUUUUGGGGCGGUUUUGGGGGGAUUUUUGCAGUUUUGGGCAUUUUGGGGGCAUUUGGGGCAUUUUGGGUCAGUUUUGGUCAGUUUUAGGGCAGUUUUGGGGCAGUUUCUGUGCCAUUUUUAGGACGGUUUGGGGCAGUUUCUGUGCCGUUUUUGGGUCACUUUGGGCAGUUUUGGGUCGGUUUUGGGGCAGUUUUGGUGGGAUUUGGGUCACUUUGGGGUCAGUUUUUGGGUCAGUUUUGGGUCAGUUUCUGUGCCGUUUUUGAGUCAGUUUGGGGCAGUUUUGGGUCAGUUUUUGCACAGUUUUUGGGUCAGUUUGGGUCAGUUUGGGGGCAGUUUUGGAUCAGUUUUUGGGCAGUUUUUGGGGCAGUUUUGGCACAGUUUUUGGGGCAGUUUCUGUGCCGUUUUUGGGUCAGUUUGGGGCAGUUUUGGGUCAGUUUCUGUGCCAUUUUUGGAUCAGUUUUUGCACAGUUUUGGGGCAGUUUCUGUGCCGUUUUUGGGUCAGUUUGGGCCGUUUUUGGGUCAGUUUGGGGUCAGUUUUUGGGUCAGUUUUUGGGCCAUUUUUGGGUCACUUUGGGCAGUUUUGGGUCAGUUUGGGGCAUUUUUGGGUCAGUUUGGGCCAUUUUGGGGCAGUUUGGGUCAGUUUGGGGCAGUUUUUGCACAGUUUUUGGGGCAGUUUGGGCCAUUUUUGGGUCACUUUGGGCAGUUUCGGGGCAGUUUUGGGCAGUUUGGGGCAGUUUUGGGGCAGUUUUGGGCCAUUUUUGGGUCAGUUUGGGCAGUUUUGGGUCAGUUUCUGUGCCGUUUUUGGGUCACUUUGGGCAGUUUUGGGGCAGUUCGGGCCAUUUUGGGGUCACUUUGGGGCAGUUUUUGGGUCACUUUGGGCAGUUUUUGGGUCAGUUUGGGCAGUUUUUGGGUCACUUUGGGCAGUUUUUGGGUCAGUUUUUGCACAGUUUUUGGGUCACUUUGGGCAGUUUUGGGGCAGUUUUGGGCCAUUUUUGGGUCAGUUGGUGCAGUUUUGGGUCAGUUUGGGCCAUUUUGGGGUCAUUUUGGGCAGUUUUGGGGUCAGUUUGGUCAGUUUUGGGUCAUUUUGGGCAGUUUUGGGCCCUUGACGCUCAGGUACAACAAGCGGCAGCUGAGCCGGGUUUACCCCAAGGGAACUCGCGUGGAUUCCUCCAACUUCCACCCGCAGCUCUUCUGGAACGCCGGCGUGCAGAUGGCAGCGCUCAACUUCCAGAGCCUCGGUGGGGACACCUGGGACACCUGGGGGGGCUGGAACACACCUGGGGACACACCUGGGGACACCUGGGGACACCUGGGGACACCUGGGGACACCUGGGGGGGCUGGAACACACC
rnacentral:lncRNA from 1 species